UCCGAUAUGGUGUAGUGGCCAACAUGAUGCCCUCUCAUCUAGUGAGAGGUUAGGCAUAGCCCCGAGUUCGAUUCUCGGUUUCGGAA
rnacentral:tRNA from 1 species